GCCAGGCGUGGUGGCAAAUGCCUGUAAUCCCAGCAGCUCGGGAGGCUGAGGCAGGAUGAUCGUGAGUUCAAAGCCAGCCUCAGCAAAAGUGUGGCACUAAGCAACUUAGUGAGACCCUGUCUCCA
rnacentral:sRNA from 1 species